GCCUUCGUGGCGCAAUGGUUAGCGCGUCAGACUUUUACGGAUGUCUUUCUGAUGAAAUCUGAAUGUUGCGAGUUCGAGUCUCGCCGAGGGCG